rnacentral:lncRNA from 1 species
AACACUAUCUAUAGUGAGGAUGGUGUGCUGCUGACCUCUACUCAGGACGUUGUGGAUCGGUGGGCAGAAUACUUCGAACACCUCCUCAAUCCCACCGACACGUCUUCCAGUGAGGAAGCAGAGUCUGGGGACUUUGGGUUGGCCUCUCAAAUCUCUGGUGCUGAGGUCACUGAGGUGGUUAAAAAGCUCCUCUGUGGCAAGGCUCCAGGGGUGGAUGAGAUCCGCCCGGAGUUCCUUAAGGCUCUGGAUGUUGUGGGGCUGUGUUGGCUGACGCGGCUCUGCAAUAUUGCGUGGACAUCAGGGGCGGUCCCACUGGACUGGCAGACCGGGGUGGUGGUCCCCUGAUGUAAAAAGGGGGACCGCAGGGUGUGCUCCAACUACAGGGGAUCAGACUCCUGAGCCUUCCUGGUAAGGUCUAUUCAGGGGUUCUGGAGAGGAGGGUCCAUCGGAUUGUUGAACUUCAGAUUCAGGAGGAGCAAUGUGGCUUUUGUCCUGGCAUUGGAACACUGGACCAGCUCUAUACCCUUAGGGGGAUCCUGGAGGCUGCGUUGGAAUUUGCCCAACCAGUCUCAUUGUGCUUUGUGGAUUUGGAGAAAGCGUUUGACUGGGUCCCUCAGGGGUCCCUGUGGGGGGUACUCCGGGAGUAUGAGGUACCAGGCCCUCUGAUACGGGCUGUUAGGUCCCUGUAUGACCGGUGCCAGAGCUUGGUCCGCAUUGCCGGCAGUAAGUCGGUAUCGCAACCAAAGGUUGUAAAUUAUUGUACUACAGGAAAUGCUUUGUGGUUCUUAGUGCAGGUGCCGACAUCUGAUUGGUGAACCAGUGGCAUGGGGAGAGUCCUGAUUGGAUAAUUGAUGGGAGCAGAUCUUUAAGAGGGAUGCCAACACCACCUGCAGCUGAUCCUCAUUCUCUUUUCAUUGUUUCAUCGUUGAGUGCUGUGUUAAGACCAGACCUGUUGUUAAACUUGAGGAAAGUAGGCGUGAACCUGCCAUUUAAUUUCUUCAUUCAGUUUUCUCCUGUGUUUGUAAUCAAGGAGUCUCUCAUCCUGCCUUUGGCAAAGCACAUUUUGUCCCCGUCCUCUCGUGUCCUCCAGUUGAAGACGGAGCGAUUCUCCAACUGGACAGCAGGUGUGCUCUGAGCACUGCAGCACAUCAAGCCGCUGCAGUGUUUCUGUGCUCUGAAGUGUGUGUGUAUGGGUGUGUGUGUGUGAGUCAGCAGAUGGGACAGCUGGGCUCAGACACCGCUGCUCCUGCCACUCUACUGGAGGAGAGGAGGCAAAGAGAACAGGGGAGCUGGAGGAAGAGGGCGGGAGAGGGGGGAAGAGAGGGAGAGUCCAGGCCCAAAUAAAGCCAUGGGGGCCAGAUCUGGGCUGGGUCCCCUUUAGCUAUA